UAAUGAUACGCUUGUCUUGAAGAUUAAGCCAUGCAUGUCUAAGUAUAAAAAGUUUACUUUGAAAACUGCGAACGGCUCAUUAACCAGUUAUAGUUUAUUUGAUAGUUUCUUCUACAGGGAUAACCGUAGUAAUUCUAGAGCUAAUACCUGCACGACCUCCCAACUCUUCGGAGAAGGGACGCGUUUAUUAGAUCUAAACCAACUCGGCUUUUGCCGAUUUAAGGUGAUUCAUAAUAAUCAAGCAAAUCGCACUUUAGGCGAUGUUUCAUUCAAGUUUCUGCUUUAUCAGCUGCGAUGGUAAUGUAUUGGAUUACCAUGGCUUUGACGAGUAACGGAGAAUUAGGGUUCGAUUCCGGAGAGGCCGCCUGAGAAACGGCGACCACAUCCAAGGAAAGCAGCAGGCGCGUAAAUUACCCAAUGCCAAACCGGCGAGGUAGUGAAGAGAAAUACCUUUUCGGGGCCAUUUAUUGGCCUUGAAGUGGAAUGAGCAUAAGUUAAACCUCUUAGCGAGGAUCAAUU
rnacentral:rRNA from 1 species